rnacentral:lncRNA from 1 species
AGAGACCGGUCCCAGAACACAUGAAAGUUCAGAAAAGUUGUUUUAAAUCGAUCUAAGCCUUCUGAACUUAUUCUAAUUAUGUAUCUUCACCACAAAUGAUCUUUUAUUCAUACCUUAGGUGUCGAUCUUUCCGAAUGAGUCUUUGUCCUCCAAUUUGAAUCUCUUCUCAAAAACUUCUGCGACCAACUCUUUAAGACUCCAAACAACUUUACGAAAUUCGCCAACCUAUAAAAUCCUUAACAGAGACCUCACUCUAGGGCAAGGAGUUGAAGUAGAAGAAGGCAUUGAAUGAGAUUUUUGGAGGAUUAGAGGACCUUGGAGCUCUCCUACUAGGUGGACUUGGAAGAACUUAGGGCUAAGGUGAGUUUUACGCAAGAACUCUUCUAGGGUUUGGAUUUUCACCCUAAGAUUUAGAGUUUUGAUCUCCUUGCAAGCUUAGAAUUGUCGUAGAGGCUUUGAAAAACAUGAAAUCCAUAGUUUCUUCAAAGUGCUCCAAUGGUGGUUAUUUAGGGUUCAUAGUAGAUGCCCUAGGAAUGGUUGAAAUGGCUUAGGAACGGUAUUAGAGAGCUUCCUAGAUGAUUCUAAGCUAGUAUUUGCUUAUUUACAAGAUCAAUCUAGGGAGAAACCGUAUAUGAUAUUGUUAGGGCACCAAAUUUGGAAAUUUUGCCCUAGGUUGUUUUCGAGAUAAAUUGACCUUGUGGAAACCUAAUUAUGAGUAUUUUCGGCCCGUUGUGGAAACCUAAUUAGGAGUAUUUCCUGAGAAAGCAGCUCUCGGGAACCGGUCCCUACCUGAGAGACCGGUCCCCGAGAGACCGGUCCCCCAAAGAGAGACCGGUUGCCCUGCGCGCAGCAGCUCUGGCUGCGCGGGGAGAGCCUUCGGGAACCGGUCCCUGAAGGAGAGACCGGUCCCUGCCUGCGCGAACAGCCCAGUUCGGGCAGUGUAUUUAAGUGAAAGUUGAGGGGUUUAUUAGCAUUUUUGCAGCCCAAUGGUUAUAUAUGAGGGACAUGAGGGCUUUUCUCUCAUUCCACUCCCUCUCACACUCUCUCCUCUCUUUCUCUCUCUAGAAGACAAAGAAGGAGAAGAAGAAGACAAAGGAAAAGAAGGAAAAGAAGGUGGAGGAGAAGCCAUUGGAGUGAAGCCACUUCAUCUUCUUCGUCUCUAGUGCAAGUUAGGGAAAGCUUUGAGGUAAGCUUCAACCCUAAUCAUGCUAAAACCCUAAUGUGAGAGCCAAGUGACCUAGAAAUGGUUUUUAAGGAGCUUUUAGAGUAUGUGAAGCUUUUCUUUUGCUUCCUUUGAGAUCAAGACCAUGGGUUUGGUGUUGGAGGUAAAGGUUGAAGGAGAGCUUGACCCCUCUCAUGGUGAAAUCCAAACUAGGGUUUGGAAUGAGCUAGGAAUGGUUUAGAUGAACUCUUUAGAGUGUAUUGAAGCUACUUUUGCUUCUCUUUGAGAUCAAACCCUAGGUUUGAUGAAUGUUAUGGAGCUAGGGCACCAAAUUGGAGCUUUUGCUCAUGGGAAUUUCUAAGUGCAAUUGACCCUCUAAAAACCUAAUUGGGGGUAUUUCCGACGCGUUGGUGUGCUCGGAUUAGCAUUCCGAAGAACCAACGAAAAGAUAUGAGCAAAAUGACCUAUUAGGGCUUCGUUAUGCCGCAGGUAGAGAACCGGGUGUCUAAAAAUCCCAAGAAAAUCGUCGGAGCACCUAAAGAGACCUACAAGGUGGGUGGUGCUUCUCAAACUCAUUGAACUUCUCUCUAUGCCUAAUGUGUCAUUCAUUUCAGCAUGUGUAUAUAUUGUUGCAUGCAUUUUAGGGUAAAGUAAUGAUGAAAAUAUGAUGUUGCAUGAUUGUGAGUACAACUUGCAUAAUACGAUGAAUAAGAACUAUGUGAAUGUCGAAAACCCUAUGUGUAUGCAUGAGAGAAAAGUGAGCACCCAAGGUGAGCAAAAGAACAGAGCGACACAAUGACAUAGAUCGAGUGGCAUUCGAUAAAGUUAAAGUGAAAUGACAAUGUUUAAAGUUAAAGUAAUGUGGGGAGUAAAAAAUAUGAAAUGCUAGAGGUAGCCAAAAGUAAAGAAUGCAAAGAAUAUAAUUGCUAGAGUUAGCAAGAGUAAUGAAUGGUAAAGAACAAUGAUUGCUACAGUUAGCAACAAAAAAGUGAUGAAAGAACACUAGAGCUAGUGUAAAGUCAAGAUUGAACUUAUAAAUCCUUUGAGUUAAGGAUAUGAUCAUACUUGCUAUGAGUUCCGUGCUCGAGGGCGGUCGCUCCCCCUCGGGCGAUGCGUUUCGGAGUUAUGCAUUACGGGUUGGAGUAAACCCGAAGGACGGUCCUAGCGGGUGAGUUCCUGCGAUGAUGGACUUAAUGUGAAGCAAGUCAAUGUGGCGAUACCCCCGGGUUAGCCUUAAGAUUAAAGAACAAAGAUCAAAGUGUAAAGAUAAAGAACAAAGAACUUGCAUAAUCUGCAUAUGUUAAUGUUGAGCAUAUUUCUUGCUUAUUGUUCAGGCAUAUUAGCAUCAUGAUGUAGAUUGGUUACUAUAUUUCAGCUUAUCCUUUCUAUUAUGCCUGAGUUAGUCCUAGUGGGAAAGUCGGUGAUGUUGAGGCCGAACCCAUUGGGAACUUUGUUGUAGUUCUCACCCCACUAUUUCCACAGAGCCGGGACCGAGCGAGCCGGCGAGCGACCGAGGUAAAGGUAUCGCGGCUUAGACAGAGGCCACCAAAUUUGGGUUUCAUUUUGUAGUAAAGUACCCUAUGAUCAUCUUUUGUACAUGAUGAUAAAUGAUGUAAAGGAAACAAUGUAAAUGUGAUGUAAGAAAGACAUGAUGAAAUGAUGUAAUGAAUGUAAGAAAUCGAUAACAUACGAGUUGGAUGUAUGUAUAUGAUCUAAAUUGAAUCAUAGUACAAGUGAAUGUUUAGUUUUCCUUUCUUUCACUAAUGGCUAUUGCUUACCCUCGUGUAAGCCGUUUGUGUAUGUCUCCGCUAGUGCAUUUCUUGUUUGAAUUUGUACAUGUGAUGAGCCUUGGGCGGAUAGGAAAAACUCUGUCCGUUCGGCGUCUGUUUGACGUGCUCGGGCCGGCCCAAAUUGGUAUCGGUUCCAGGGUGUGACAGAUAUCGUGGUAUCAGAGCCAAGAGUGAAAGAAUAGGAUUGGACCUAGAGACACUUAGGAUUGGAAGGCCUUAAGGAUCUAGAAAACGUGAGUGACGUGGGAUCAAAGUUAGCGAAAGCAUGUGAUUGGGUUAAGUAGGGACGUCUCUAAUACGAUUAGAGGCUAAGUUUAAUUUUCAUUUAUCCUCUACUUCUAGUAUUGUGUCGGGCGGCCGACGACAUGACGCUUGAGGCAAGAAUGAAUGUGCAUGUUACUUUCGCCUAAUUGGGUAUGGUUGAGUAAUGUUGGUCAAGUGACUAAUGCGAGUUGCUUCUUUUCAGGAAGCAAUGGCACCUCGACGUCGAUCGCAGACAAGGUCGAUGCCGGAGGAAACGAAUGCGGUGCCCGAUGUAAGAUAUGGAUCCCGAGGAUCUAAAAGGUAAGUAACACCUAGAGGGGGGUGAAUAGGUGUAACAACGGCAAACUCAAAAAUUCUUGAUACGAAUAAAAUAAAAUAGCGGAAAAGAAAAUAGCACACCAAGAAUUUAACAUGGAAAAACUCCAAAUCAGAGUGAAAAACCCACAGGACCAAUCACGCAAAGAAAAUCCACUAAGAAAACAUGAGUACAAGUGAUUUUGAGCAAAACACACGACUCAAUUUACCGAUUUCCCGUAGAUGACGAUCUUCGCCGGUCCUCGAUCGAUAGGAAUCCUCCAAUCGACCUUGCCGCAACUCCUCGCAGCAUCAACGCCUCAAUUCCUCGAAGCAUCCACCGAAUCCUCGGCUUCACGCGAGAUCCACGCGUCGGACCUCCUUCCGGAGCUUGUAGAAUCGAAGAUUUGUGAUGAUUUAACCUUUUGAUACCAUAAGCUAUGAGGGUUCACCUUUAAUCAAACAUCUACUUGAUUCUCGUAUGAAUUAUCGAGUAAAAACGAAGAAUCAAGCCGAUUGUUGAUUGGAGAAAACUCGUUAUGUGAAUCGAAACAUUGAAAACGGAAAAACAAGUUUCUAGGGUUUAGAAUCUGUAAAUAUUCAGAGCCUUAGGUUUUUCGAUGACCCACAUAGCUUAUUUAUAUGUUUAGAAGACUUAGAAGUAGACUAGGAUUGCAGAAAGUCCUUUUUUAAAAACAUGUGUCGUCCUCAGAGACCGGUCCUCUCGAGGAGACCGGUCUAUGAGAGACCGGUCUCUCAAGUGAGGAACCGGUCCCUCGCUGCGUGACCAAAAUCACAACAUUCGGGAACCGGUCUCUCAAGCUUGAGACCGGUCCCUUGCAGCGUGACAGAAAUAUCAACGUUCGGGAACCGGUCUCUCAUCACAGGGGACCGGUUGCAUCAGAACUCACGCAGUGAGGACCUAAGGGGAACCGGUCUCUCCAUUUCAGGGACCGGUCCCAGAACACAUGAAAGUUCAGAAAAAUUGUUUUAAAGCAAUCUAAGUCUUCUGAACUUAUUCUAAUUAGGUAUCUCCACCACAAAUGAUCUUUUCUUCAUACCUUAGGUGUCGAGCUUUCCGAAAGAGUUUUUGUUCUUCAAUUUGAAUCUUUUCUUCAAAACUUCGGAGAUCAACUUUUCAAGACUCUAUUCAACAUUACGAAAUUCGCCAACCUAUAAAAUCCUUAACAAUCUCCCCCUUUGGCGAUUUCAUGACAAAAUAUACUAUAAAAUCGUACACAACGCAGAAACAAUAAAACGAAGAUCAUCGCAAUCACCAAACGAUAAUCUCCUGCAUGAUCGAUCCAAUAAACGAAAAUUACAAUUUUCAAAAUCUUAAUACAAACUCUAUGACUUAGACAUGGAGUCUUGAAGUCUUGAAUUAUUCCUGCAAA